CCUUGUACACACCGCCCGUCACGCCAUGGGAGUGGGUUGUACCAGAAGCUGGUAGGGUAACCGUAAGGAGCCCGCCAACCACGGUAUGAUUCAUGACUGGGGUG
rnacentral:rRNA from 1 species